AUCCGGAUGACGAGUCCCAAAUAGAACGAAAUGCUCAUUCUGAAU
rnacentral:hammerhead_ribozyme from 1 species